UACGAAGGGGGCUAGCGUUGCUCGGAAUCACUGGGCGUAAAGGGUGCGUAGGCGGGUCUUUUAAGUCAGGGGUGAAAUCCUGGAGCUCAACUCCAGAACUGCCUUUGAUACUGAAGAUCUUGAGUUCGGGAGAGGUGAGUGGAACUCCGAGUGUAGAGGUGAAAUUCGUAGAUAUUCGGAAGAACACCCGUGGCGAAGGCGGCUCUCUGGGACGUGACUGACGCUGAGACGCGAAAGCGUGGGGAGCAAAUAGG
rnacentral:rRNA from 1 species